GACGAACGCUGGCGGCGUGCCUAAUACAUGCAAGUCGAACGCAGUGGGGACGGGUGAGUAACACGUGGGUAACCUCCCAUCAGAGGGGAUAACACUUGGAAACAGGUGCUAAACCGAUACUGAUGGAUGGACCCGCGGGGCAUUAGCUAGUUGGUGAGGUAACGGCCCACCAAGGCCACGAUGCAUAGCCGGCCUGGGAGGUGGUAGGGCCACACUGGGAUGGGGACACGGCCCAGACUCCUACGGUAGGCAGCAGGAGGGAAUCUUCGGCAAUGGAGGAAGGUCUGACCAAGCAAAGCCGCGGGAGUGAGGAAGGUUUUCGGAUCGUAAAACUCUGUUGUUAGAGAAGCGGUAUCUAACCAGAAAGCCACGGCUAACUACGUGCCAGCCGCCGCGGUAAUUC
rnacentral:rRNA from 1 species